rnacentral:rRNA from 2 species
UACGUAGGGUGCAAGCGUUAAUCGGAAUUAUUGGGCGUAAAGGGUGCGCAGGCGGUUGUAUAAGUCAGAUGUGAAAUCCCUGGGCUUAACCUAGGAAUUGCGUUUGAAACUAUAUGACUAGAGUGUGACAGAGGGGAGUGGAAUUCCAUGUGUAGCAGUGAAAUGCGUAGAGAUGUGGAAGAACACCGAUGGCGAAGGCA